UACGUAGGCAGCGAGCGUUGUUCGGAGUUACUGGGCGUAAAGGGUGUGUAGGCGGUUGUUUAAGUUUGGUGUGAAAUCUCCCGGCUCAACUGGGAGGGUGCGCCGAAUACUGAAUGACUUCGAGUGCGGGAGAGGUGAGUGGAAUUCCUGGUGUAGCGGUGAAAUGCGUAGAUAUCAGGAGGAACACCGGUGGUGUAGACGGCUCACUGGACCGUAACUGACGCUGAGACACGAAAGCGUGGGGAGCAAACAGG
rnacentral:rRNA from 1 species